ACUGUUUUGACGGAUGACGAGGAGGAAUGAGGCUCGUGGAAAGAAACGACGUGUAUUGAAUUAACACGCGGACCCAGAGUGCUGUGUACGUUCAUAGAAUACUUUGAAUAUUUAUAGGAGUGACUCUUUGCGCUAAUGGCUCUGUUAUCAUUUGGUAUCAAGGGUGGUGGGAACAUGGGGACGAAAGAGGGACACGCUCUAAAAUCAACGAAACGUAUUUUUUUUUUAUUCUUCCGACGGCACACAGUCGCGCCUACGAGGGACGGCAAUGAGGGAUGAGACAAGUUCGCUUUCGAUGGAAACUAUGCGUUGGCGAUGAUAUAAUAGCAACAUUUACUCGUGUCUCGCAUCUUCGUUUCGCGUCUGGUAGAUUUUUCGCGCACGAGCUUACUAAUCGCGGUUUUAAUAGAAAUUCACGUUGCUUCCUUUGGUGUAAAUAAAAGUGGCGAUAACGACGCUCCGCAUUAGCUUAUGAGAAGUAUGUCUCUAAUCUCUGUUGAACACGUAUCGUCGAAUCAUCUGAUAUUAAAAUAACUGUAAAAUGGAUUGUGUAUAUUACUUCGUCAUGGCAUAUAAAAAUUAUUGAUGAACGUAUAAACUAAUGAGUGUUUAAACACUUCGUCUGUAAACGUGGGUAGUUCGUGUCCGAGCAAAAACAAUUUCGGUUUAUACCUGGGAAAUAGGGGAAGGGCGGACGGGUCCCGUAUAUCCCUAAAAACAGUUGUAUAGGAGGGGAAACUGACACCCAAGUUUCAGUAUUCUAGUACCUUCCAGGCAGUGGUGACGAGUGCGCAGAUUUCGAAGUGGACACGAACGACCCACGUUUACAGACGGCGUGUAGUAAACAGGUAAGUGAGUGACAUUUUUUUUGUUUUAACGUGGUUUUGGAAUUAGUGAUACAUUUAUUUUGUUUUAGUAUGUCUAAAAAAGUGUUUAGAAUUUUUUUUAGCAUUUUCAAAAUGGAGCAGCGAUCGGCUGAAGAAGUCACGCGUGUACUGCGUCAACGCUAAGAUAUUACAUAUUUUGGAGAUGAUGACAGCGACUAAAUGUAAUUAACUUUUUUUUUGUAUAAUAGAUGUAAGAUAUCUUUUUUAUGAAAAAAGAAAUACGUUUUUCCCUAAUAAAAUGUGUGAAUAGCAA